rnacentral:rRNA from 1 species
GAUGAACGCUGGCGGCGUGCCUAAUACAUGCAAGUCGAGCGAACAGACGAGGAGCUUGCUCCUCUGACGUUAGCGGCGGACGGGUGAGUAACACGUGGAUAACCUGCCUAUAAGACUGGGAUAACUUCGGGAAAACGGAGCUAAUACCGGAUAAUAUAUUGAACCGCAUGGUUCAAUAGUGAAAGACGGUUUUGCUGUCACUUAUAGAUGGAUCCGCGCCGCAUUAGCUAGUUGGUAAGGUAACGGCUUACCAAGGCGACGAUGCGUAGCCGACCUGAGAGGGUGAUCGGCCACACUGGAACUGAGACACGGUCCAGACUCCUACGGGAGGCAGCAGUAGGGAAUCUUCCGCAAUGGGCGAAAGCCUGACGGAGCAACGCCGCGUGAGUGAUGAAGGUCUUCGGAUCGUAAAACUCUGUUAUUAGGGAAGAACAAAUGUGUAAGUAACUAUGCACGUCUUGACGGUACCUAAUCAGAAAGCCACGGCUAACUACGUG